UCACGAUGGCGAGGAAAGUAGCCCAGAGGAGUGCUGAGAGGCUUCCCAAACACAUACUGAAGGUCAUCACCGUGAUCAGCACCCAUCCAGAGUGGGAAGACAGGCAUGCGAGAGGGCUCAGUGAACAGAUACGACACCUGGAAGUUGACACUGGCUCCUCCUGCUGACUCCCCAAAGAUGGUGAUGUUGUCUGGAUUGCCACCAAAAUUCCUGAUGUUUCUGUGUACCCAGGAGAUAGCGGCGUGCUGAUCCCACAGGCCAUAGUUUCCUGUCGAACAGGACAUGCUCAGGUGCUUCAGCAUCUCCACUGCUGAGGAAUCCCAGGGAACCGACACGAUAGUUGAAUGUCACCACAAUGACAUUUCCUCUGUCUGCGAUCUCCUGUCCAUUGUACAGAACAAGUUUGCAUUACCAGUGUUGCCCUGAGGGACCCAGAUGUUCAGGUAGAGACAGUCUUCACUGCCCACAACAUCAGUAGGGAGAAGAUUGAGCUGCAUGCACUUAUUCUGGAAGUCGGUGGCUUUCAGAACACCUGUGCAGAACGACAAACUGGAUGCUAAACAGUCAGGUUUCAGGAGGGGCCAUUCAACUGAGACUGCGCUUCUCUCGGUCACUGAAGCCCUGCGAAUUGCAAAAGCCCAUUCCAAAUCAUCAGUCCUCAUUCUGCUGGACCUAUCUGCCGCUUUUGACACUGUCAAUCAUCAGAUACUCCUGUCCACCCUCUCAUCACUGGGCAUCUCUGGCAUUCCACUUCGCUGGUUUGAAUCCUA